GGGGCAAGCGUUAUCCGGAAUUAUUGGGCGUAAAGAGUACGUAGGCGGUUCUUUAAGCGUAGGGUCUAAGGCGAUGGCUUAACCAUCGUUCGCCCUGUGAACUGGAGGACUUGAGUAUCGGAGAGGAAAGCGGAAUUCCUAGUGUAGCGGUGAAAUGCGUAGAUAUUAGGAGGAACACCAGUGGCGAAGGUGGCUUUCUGGACGAAAACUGACGCUGAGGUACGAAAGCGUGGGGAGCAAAC
rnacentral:rRNA from 1 species